GAUGAACGCUGGCGGCGUGCCUAAUACAUGCAAGUCGAGCGAACAGACGAGGAGCUUGCUCCUCUGACGUUAGCGGCGGACGGGUGAGUAACACGUGGAUAACCUACCUAUAAGACUGGGAUAACUUCGGGAAACCGGAGCUAAUACCGGAUAAUAUAUUGAACCGCAUGGUUCAAUAGUGAAAGACGGUUUUGCUGUCACUUAUAGAUGGAUCCGCGCCUCAUUAGCUAGUUGGUAAGGUAACGGCUUACCAAGGCAACGAUGCGUAGCCGACCUGAGAGGGUGAUCGGCCACACUGGAACUGAGACACGGUCCAGACUCCUACGGGAGGCAGCAGUAGGGAAUCUUCCGCAAAGGGCGAAAGCCUGACGGAGCAACGCCGCGUGAGUGAUGAAGGUCUUCGGAUCGUAAAACUCUGUUAUUAGGGAAGAACAGAUGUGUAAGUAACUAUGCACGUCUUGACGGUGCCUAAUCAGAAAGCCACGGCUAACUACGUG
rnacentral:rRNA from 1 species